rnacentral:tRNA from 1 species
GGGAAUGUAGCUUAAUGGUAGAGUGCUUGCAUAGCAUGCAUGAAGCCCUGGGUUCGAUUCCUCAGUGCCA